GACGAACCGUACGAACGUUAUUCGGAAUCACUGGGCUUAAAGGGUGCGUAGGCUGCGCAGCAAGUUGGGUGUGAAAUCCCUCGGCUUAACCGAGGAACUGCGCCCAAAACUGCUGUGCUCGAGGGAGACAGAGGUGAGCGGAACUUAGGGUGGAGCGGUGAAAUGCGUAGAUAUCGUCUGGAACGCCGAAGGUGAAAACAGCUCGCUGGGGCUGCGCUGACGCUGAGACACGAAAGCCAGGGGAGCGAACGGG
rnacentral:rRNA from 1 species